rnacentral:lncRNA from 1 species
UUGGACACGGGGCCUUUUGUGAGGUCAUUAAGGUUGAUAAGGUCAUAAGGGUGGGGCCCUAAUCCCCCAGGACUGGUGUCCGUAUAAGAAGAGGAAGAGACACCAGAGAGUCUGUGUGUGUGCAGAGGAAAGGCAUGUGAGGACACUGGGAAAAGGUGGCUGUCUCUAAGCCAAGAAGAGCAGUCCCACCAGAAACCAACCCUGCUGUCACCUUGAUCUUGGACUUCGAGCCUCCAGAACUCUGAACAGCUCAGAUCCAGUGAGUUCCUAAGACUUGGCCAAGAAGGCUCUGCAGUUAGUGAAGCACAGAGACUCGAAUCCAGGACCCACCUCCAGCCCCUGGGAUACAGAAGGAAAACUCAAACUCAGGGGCUCAAGGACAUGUCAAAGGCACAGACAUAUGUUCCUGCAUUGAUCAAAUCAGGCUGUGCAGGUGGUUCGCUGCUCUGUGGACCAGCACAGCACUCGUAUCUAGUGGGUGUCUGAUAAAUACAUGCUGCUCGCCAGAAGGAACAUCAAGAGUAGAAGCCCAUUGCUCUCUGGUGACUUUUGUUUUCUUUCAGAAUGCAUAAACAGGGGGCCUGCUCUCCACGUGUAAACUGAUCUGGUGCAAUUCAGAUAGAAUAUAUUCUAGGACUGGUGCCUUCUUCAACUCAUGCAAAUAAAAGUGCAGCAUGGUCCAAAGUACUGGAGUCAUGAGAAGGGACAGAAAGAAAACCUCUCUUUAAAAAACUAGUGGCUGAAAAACAAAUAUUUGUGGUGCAAUAAAUUCGGAGUGCAAGAUAUCUUUCUUGGCUUCAGGUUAUCAUCUUGGAAAGAACACAGUGGUGGCACUAUCUCUGCAAGCAAAGGUCAAGAAAUUUGUCUCUAGAUGUCACAAGAAAAUCAGAAUAAGUGCAUAUUGCUGUAUUCCAAACUGUGACCCCAGGAAGUCAACAGACAGCCCAACUGCUGCCACUGCCCACAGGAGGCAGUUGGUACAGAGAUGACACUGAAGGGGACAAGACUACGAGCUACAUUACCAACAAAGUCUUGACUCACAAAAUGAUAUUUGCUUCUGGUCGCCAAUUGGACUUCUGGCUCUCCUCAACCAGCUUGUUAAUGGGAGUUUUUGUCAAAAAGAGCACUGAGUAGGGGAGUGAAUGAUGUGUGAAGCUAGAAAUUGUAAAGAAAAAGCAAUACAGUUCAGUAGGGAGAGUGCAGAUUUAGACUAGCAUCUGGGUCUGAGAUCCCACUUCUGUGCGACAGCCAGGAGCAAGUUCCUUUCUCUCUCUGAGCCCGUGUGUUCUCAUCUAUAGACUGGGGAUAGUACUACCUUGUGGGGGGUUAUGCAUUUACAAUGCUUAAUACUUGGAAGGCAUGCAAUAAGUGCUAACUAUUAUUACUAUUAUUAAUCUGUUGGAAACGAAAAAUUCAAAGCAUUUCUCUAUUACUUAUUGUGGAAUAGUACUGACGUCUUUUCAUAAUUUAAGUCCAUAUUUCAGAGUAAAAAAGACAUGAUGAUUGAUAUUUACUGGUUUGACUUAUAAAGUAAGAGUGACUUUUUACGUUAACUGACACACAUUUGAUUAGAAGCUUGGUCCUUCAACUUUAAAAAAUAAAGUAAUAAUAUUGAAACCGUAGAAGUAAAUCCUAGCAGCUGCUUGAGGAAUAAUUUCAAAUUGUGCAAGAUCACAAAUGAGAAGGCUAGCUAUCACUUGGAUGACUGUGUGUCAGAUUCUGCUCCUGAGACCUUUAUAUCCGGUAACUCACUCAAAUGAAGUAUGAGCAUAAUUAAUUUAAUAAGCCACUGUUGGGGAACUCUAGUAAACAUAUUUGAUGAGUUGAAAGGCGUGGUCUGAGUUCUGUGUUUGUUCAACCUGGGAGUUUGUUACUAGAUCUGGGGUUGUCAAAUUUAUUCUGUAAAUGAACAGAUGGCAAAUAUUUUGGGCUGAGUGGGUCCUAUAGUCUGUUUAACUACUUAACUUUGCUAUUGAAGUGCAAAAGCUACUUUACAUAAA